UACGGGGGGGGCAAGCGUUGUUCGGAAUUACUGGGCGUAAAGGGCUCGUAGGCGGCCAACUAAGUCAGACGUGAAAUCCCUCGGCUUAACCGGGGAACGGCAUCUGAUACUGGAUGGCUGGAGUUCGGGAGAGGGAUGCGGAAUUCCAGGUGUAGCGGUGAAAUGCGUAGAUAUCUGGAGGAACACCGGUGGCGAAGGCGGCAUCCUGGACCGAGAUUGACGCUGAGGCGCGAAAGCCAGGGGAGCAAACGGG
rnacentral:rRNA from 1 species